AAACAGCGAGGAACAUAUCACGAAAGGCAAGAUACUCUUAAUAACCGAUAGUGUAUAGUAAAGAGAGAGAAAGGUGAAAAUAACCGCGGGAGGGGCGUGAAAUGGAAGCUGAAAUCGUGUGCUUACAAGCGGUAAAAACCUAUUGGGAUGAUGGAGUGCCAUAUGGAGAAUGUACAUGAGAAUUGCGUUCAGUGACUAGGUAAAGUAUAUCGGAGCAGAAGGGAAACCGAGUCUGAAUAGGGCGACAUAGUCGAAGGGCGUAGACGCGAAACCUGGUGAUCUAAGAGUGUCCAGGGUGAAGCUAUGGUAAGACACAGUGGAGGCACGAACUCACCACAGAGGAAAAGUAGAGAGAGGAGGUAGGGAUAGGGGUGAAAAGCCAAUAGAACCAGGAGAGAGAUCGUACACUAAGACAUGCAGUGAAGUGCAGCGUUGAGAGAUCAAUUAUGGGGGUAGAGCACUGAAUGAUCGAGGGGGCAUACUGCUAACCGAAGGAAAGCAAACUCCGAAUA
rnacentral:rRNA from 1 species